rnacentral:rRNA from 1 species
UUGGCGAACGGGUGAGUAACGCGUGAAUAACCUGACUCAAAGAGGGGGGAGUAACAACGGGAAACUGUUGCUAAUACCGCAUGAGACCACAACACCGCAUGAUGAAGGGGUCAAAGAUUUAUCGCUUUGAGAGGGGUUCGCGUCCCAUUAGGUAGUUGGAGGGGUAACGGCCCACCAAGCCAACGAUGGGUAGCCGAGCUGAGAGGCUGAUCGGCCACACUGGAACUGAGACACGGUCCAG